rnacentral:rRNA from 1 species
CGCCAGACUCCUACGGGAGGCAGCAGUGGGGGAUAUUGCACAAUGGGGGAAACCCUGAUGCAGCGACGCCGCGUGAGUGAAGAAGUAUUUCGGUAUGUAAAGCUCUAUCAGCAGGGACGAAAAUGACGGUACCUGAGUAAGAAGCCCCGGCUAACUACGUGCCAGCAGCCGCGGUAAUACGUAGGGGGCAAGCGUUAUCCGGAUUUACUGGGUGUAAAGGGAGCGUAGACGGCAGCGCAAGUCUGGAGUGAAAUGCCGGGGCUCAACCCCGGAACUGCUUUGGAAACUGUGCAGCUAAAGUGCGGGAGAGGUAAGCGGAAUUCCUAGUGUAGCGGUGAAAUGCGUAGAUAUUAGGAGGAACACCAGUGGCGAAGGCGGCUUGCUGGACCGUAACUGACGUUGAGGCUCGAAAGCGUGGGGAGCAAACAGGAUUAGAUACCCUCGUAC